CCUACGGGUGGCAGCAGUGAGGAAUAUUGGUCAAUGGACGAGAGCCUGAACCAGCCAAGUCGCGUGAAGGAUGACUGUCCUAUGGAUCGUAAACCUCUUUUAUAAGGGAAUAAAGCGCGGCACGUGUCCCUUUUUGUAUGUACCUUAUGAAUAAGGAUCGGCUAACUCCGUGCCAGCAGCCGCGGUAAUACGGAGGAUCCGAGCGUUAUCCGGAUUUAUUGGGUUUAAAGGGUGCGUAGAUGGCUUUUUAAGUCAGUGGUGAAAGUCUGUGGCUCAACCGUAGAAUUGCCGUUGAUACUGGGAGUCUUGAGUACAUUUGAGGCAGGCGGAAUGCGUGGUGUAGCGGUGAAAUGCUUAGAUAUCACGAAGAACCCCGAUUGCGAAGGCAGCUUACCAAGCCGUGACUGACACUGAUGCUCGAAAGCGUGGGGAUCAAACAGGAUUAGAUACCCUGGUAGUC
rnacentral:rRNA from 1 species